rnacentral:rRNA from 1 species
GGCCUUUGGUCAGAUAGUUUCUCCGGGCCUUUCUGCCUGGGAACCCUAUUCUACUUAACUGUAGGGUAGUGGGACGCAGGCCGUUUACUUUNGAAAAAAUUAGAGUGUUCAAAGCAGGCCUACGCUUGAAUACAUUAGCAUGGAAUAAUNGGAAUAGGACUUUGGUCUUAUUUGUUGGUUUAUGGGACCGAAGUAAUGAUUAACAGGGACAGUUGGGGCCGUUUAUAUUUCGUUGUCAGAGGUGAAAUUCUUCGGAUUUACGAAAGAUAAACUUCUGCGAAAGCAUUCCGGCAAGGAUGUUCACAUUGAUCAAGAACGAAAGUUAGGGGAUCGAAGACGAUCAGAUACCCGUCGUAGUCUUAACCAUAAACUAUGCCGACUAGGGAUCAGUGGAUGUCAAUUUGCGACUCCAUUUGGCACCUUGUGAGAAAUCAAAGUUUUUGGGUUCCNGGGGGAGUAUGGUCGCAAGGCUGAAACUUAAAGGAAUUGACGGAAGGGCACCACCAGGAGUGGAGCCUGCGGCUUAAUUUGACUCAACACGGGGAAACUUACCAGGUCCAGACAUAGUAAGGAUUGACAGAUUGAAAGCUCUUUUCUUGAUUCUAUGGGUGGNNGGUGCAUGGCCGUUCUUAAGUUGGUGGAGUGAUUUGUCUGGUUAAUUCCG